GAACGGCAGCACGGGGGCAACCCUGGUGGCGAGUGGCGAACGGGUGAGUAAUACAUCGGAACGUGUCCUGGAGUGGGGGAUAGCCCGGCGAAAGCCGGAUUAAUACCGCAUACGCUCUGUGGAGGAAAGCGGGGGAUCUUCGGACCUCGCGCUCAAGGGGCGGCCGAUGGCAGAUUAGCUAGUUGGUGGGGUAAAGGCCUACCAAGGCGACGAUCUGUAGCUGGUCUGAGAGGACGACCAGCCACACUGGGACUGAGACACGGCCCAGACUCCUACGGGAGGCAGCAGUGGGGAAUUUUGGACAAUGGGGGCAACCCUGAUCCAGCAAUGCCGCGUGUGUGAAGAAGGCCUUCGGGUUGUAAAGCACUUUUGUCCGGAAAGAAAACCUCCGGGUUAAUACCCUGGGGGGAUGACGGUACCGGAAGAAUAAGCACCGGCUAACUACGUG
rnacentral:rRNA from 1 species